rnacentral:misc_RNA from 1 species
GAUGAAGAACGUAGCGAAAUGCGAUAAGUAGUGUGAAUUGCAGAAUUCAGUGAAUCAUCGAAUCUUUGAACGCUCAUUGCGACCCUUGGUAUUCCAUGGGGCAUGCCUGUUCGAGCGUCAUUUGUACCUUCAAGCUCUGCUUGGUGUUGGGUGUUUGUCUCGCCUCUGCGUGUAGACUCGCCUCAAAACAAUUGGCAGCCGGCGUAUUGAUUUCGGAGCGCAGUACAUCUCGCGCUUUGCACUCAUAACGACGACGUCCAAAAGUACAUUUUUACACUCUUGACCUCGGAUCAGGUAGGGAUACCCGCUGAACUUAAGCAUAUCAAUAAGCGGAGGA